rnacentral:sRNA from 1 species
ACCUAUCUAUCUAUCUACCAACCUGUUUGCUUAAUAUUCAAUCAAUCUCUAUGAGAAUAAACAUCACCAUCUAUCUACCCACCUAUGCCCCGGUGGCCGAAUGGGUAAUGCGGCCACCUGGUAGCGCCUUGGCGUGGGGACCCAAGGCGCGUGGGUUCGAAACCCGCAGGGGACAACAUUACAUCCGGAGCCAACUUCUCAGCUCCUAAAAUAAAGGGAUGUGAACUUGCCAAGUAGGUACCUUCGGGCGGACCUACUACCUGAUUUAGCUUAUUGUUUCUGGGCUGGAAACCUGUAUUGCAUGUACCAAAUCCUGUCUUUCAUUAAUUUUCCUAUGUUUCUGUUAUGUCUUGGCAUCAUUCAACACUAGCAUUCCUCCUGUAUAACCAACUCUUGCCUGUAUUUAACAUCACACAAGGACUCAUCAUAAGCACUGCUUGCAUACGAGUAUAAGGAAGAAUAAUAAUAAUAAUAAUAAUAAUAUCUACCCACCUAUCUAUCAAUGCAGA